GGGCCGUUAGCUCAGUUGGUAGAGCGGCUGACUCUUAAUCAGCAUGUCGUAGGUUCAAUCCCUACACGGCCCACCA
rnacentral:tRNA from 3 species